AAGCUUACAUUCAGCAUACUGCAGAGCCCUUGGUCAGACGCCAGAGCUCAUCUCUGAAGUGCCUCAUGAACUGCAUAACGACAUAGCGAUGCCUGCCUUCCUCCUUUUUGCCCAGCCGAUGUACCGAGUCAACAAUACUGUCGAUCUUGACUAGAAUCUGUGACACCUUCUCUCUCGUGUUUUCAUUUUCUUGCUCCUUGAGCCUGUGUAGUUUCAAAUUCCAGCGGCGUUUAUCACGCUCAAGCUCCAGGAUUCUCUCAGUUUUGGCAUUCUCUGUCCCGAUUUUUGUAACUUCCUUUUCCAAAGUAAGCGCUUUGGACAGAAUUUUAUUGCUUUGGCUCCACGCCUUUGGCCACUUCUGCAAAUAUGACAGUGUUGUUCUUCAUUUGCUCAUUAAGUUCUUGUAGCAUAUGUAACGGAGUGCCUGCACCUUUAAGCAGAAGCAACAGCAACAGUGCGGUGUCGCAUCAACUGACGUCACUGUAUGCGACGCUAGUCAUGCCAAUUGUUUGCCGUGGGAUUCCUUUAAAAGCCCGGCAGUGCUGCAGCCAGGUAGGCGAUUUGAAUUCUGCUCUAUUUGGCAUUUUGCGUCCUCUGCUCCAGUCGCUAUCGCUGUCGAGCAGUAUUUGGGUGCCCACGUCUCGACCGUGAAGGGCAAAACAUUUGGAAUAUUGCCCCUAUUGUGAUUCGCAGUGUGCCGUAUUUGGGGUACAACUUAAUCGGUGUGUGCGUGUCCUUGUUUAAGUUACCGGCUGCUUUGCUGUGUCAUUACCUCGCAACGGGGGUUCAUCUCUUUUCGUCUUUGGCCGUGGUGGGUCGUUUACCGGAAGUGCACAAGAUCAAGGCUGCAUUCUGUUCACCGGCUGCUGUUUUGUCUUUAAUGAUUCUUUUCGUUUUAUGACUCCUGUGCAGCGAAUGCUCUACCACGGCGGCACCGUACAAGGGUGGCCGGAGCAUCCGAGUGGACUGGGGACAUCCAGCAGGGAGGCUUGACACCUGGUGAUACUGUUUCAGACAUGGACUCGUGAGGCACCACAGAACAAGUUCCAGCUGAGGGUACAGACAGAAUUAGAGACAUUCCUGUUGUGCUGCCAGACAGAUAGGCAACAGAAAAUGCCUCUGAUGUAUGGCCAAGAUAUCUAUUUGCUGGAUGCAACAUACUGGAGCACAUGCUAUUCACUCCUUCUGUUCUCUCUCUCUGUGCACCAGUGUGUAUGACGUGGUUGUUGGUGUCAUGCUGAUUAAGGAAGACAGUACUGUUGCUGUGGUGGAAGUACUGAAGAAAUUCCAGGAGAGAAAUCCCCACUGGCAACCUGCACUUAGUGGACUUAUUCAGCCAGGUUGAGAUCCAGGCUGUCGAAGCUGUCUUUGAAGAUGUGGCUCAUUCUACAUUCAGUGCUUGCUAGAACAGCGAUGAUGCCAAUUUUACCUUCAACCUUUUUGAAUCCUUUUUACUUCAAGAAAACACAUGAAGGCAUCAGAAUGCUGCAAAAUGAAAUAAGUUGUUAAAAGCCAUUGUACUUGUUGUUUGAGAAUUCACGCAUUUGCUUUCUAUUAACUCUUCUAAUGUCUCAUAGCACAUAAUUGAGAAAGAAAAUUUCAUAUCUGUUGUUGGAUACAAAAUUGAUUUUUGGCAUUUGCCUUGUACCUCAGCUGUGCAUUGUG